rnacentral:misc_RNA from 1 species
GUGUGUGCUAAACUUUUAACAGUUUCAUUGUUGUUCUUGUUCUUGUGUUUUGUUCCUUCUCUUCUGAAAUUUUGCUCUAUUCUUUACUUUUCAAUUUAUUUUUCUAAGAGCAUUAUUUAAUCAAGUAUGCCAAUCCUGUACAUGCAUAAACCAUUAGAAUGUGUUUGUCAUUCAUGUGUGCUCAAUGGUACUUUCAUUUUGAUGGGUUCCUAAGUUUUGUUCUUCACUGCUUGAAAGAUAUUGUUAAUUACUUGCAGAUCAAAUAUGCUGCUUAAACUCUGAACUAUUGCUACUGUAUGUGAUAGAAAAUGUUAUCUAAUUGUUAACAUUGUUUCUGUGCUGGCUUUAACAAAACUAAUUUUGGUCUGCCGCCCUAAGUAUAAUCUUUCCGUUACAUUUUUCUCUGUCUUCUACCAUGCCAUAUAUCAACUAGAGGAUAUAAUCUGCAGUGGCUAAAUUAGCCUUAUUAACAGUUUAUCCUUUAGGAAAAUUUCAAACAUUCACUGUGGAUGUUAGGCAUCUGGUGCAAACAUGUCAAAGCAAAAAAAGCUUUUGCACCCUUCUCUUUCUCUUUUAUAUUUGUAUCAUGUCAAGUUUAGAACACAUUUCACGCAAGUCACGAGGGCCUUUUUGUUCAAGUUUGAGGUUCCCAUCACUCAGCUGAUGCACAUGCAUCCCCCCACUUUUAGUGGGUUAAGAUCAGCAUACUGCCUGCAAAUGAAAGAAAAUGU